GUUGGUGCUCUAACAGCGGCACUGACCUUUCCAUAGUAAUUAGUAAGUGCUAUUUGUUGGGGUAGUUUGA
rfam:Astyanax mexicanus Tnplaced_Scaffold3368, whole genome shotgun sequence.